UUUCACUACAAAAAACCAGCGCAGUUCUGGCGCCCAUCUCCCGGCGGCCAGGCCGACGGAAGGUUACACUUGUCCGCCUGCAUAAUUUUCCCUCGUAAAUGAGAGAAAUGAGCUGGCGGCCAGGCCGACGGAAUAUUUUUUUGUAAAAAAUGUCAGUGGCCUGGCCGCCAGCUCCAAUUUCACCAACGGUCGGGAAGAAGUGAUCCAGCGGCCUAGCCGCCGGCAUACUAUAACCGUCAACGGUCGGGAGAAAAAUAGCUGGCGGCUUGGCCGCUGGAUACUUUUUCCCGCUUGUUUUUUUCAGUAGCCGGCGGCCUGGCCGCCAGGAUUUUUGGGGAACCCUAAUUUUUACCACUUGCACCGCCGUGGUCCUCCGUACAGUCAAACAUAGUCAAACGAAACUUAAGUAUUUCCGAGCGGCCUGGCCGCCAGGAUUUUUUAUAUAUAUAUAAAAAAUUCCAGACUUUUCUCAUUUCUCCCAAACUCUCCCAACGUCUCCCCACUUCUCCAAACUCCUCCCAACUUCUCCAAUCUUCUCCAAACUUCUCCCAAGUUGUCCAAACUUCUCCCCAAGGGCGUUUAUACCAUCUCCGGCCGAUUUGAUCGAGCACCUCCGGCCAUUCCUUCCC
rnacentral:lncRNA from 1 species